CACCAGACAUGCUAGCGUAUAGCAUCACCGGAACCGGACCGGGUCUCGUUUCUACAGUUCAUAUGAACCGUCCCUCUACCGGGGCCGACCGUUUACCGCGUCGUUCUCACGACUACCAGAGCCACCUCUGCGUGUAGCACUUGGCCCGUGAAGCCUCCAUCGACAUCUGGACGUCUUCUUCUGUAUCUGGUCCGGCUCGCUGGACGUUUCAGGUACUGAAGGCCAGCAGGAGGUUUUGGAGCCUGGAAAGGUAUCGCUUCCAAAGAACCACCCUUUUUAAAAGGGCAGCAGCUGGUACUCCUGUAGCGUUCCCUGGUCCAUGUUCCCUGGUCCAUGUUCCAUGUUCUCUGGUCCAUGUUCCCUGGUCCAUGUUCCCUGGUCCAUGGCCCCUCAUGUUCAUUAUAACUAUGUUUAUUAUAACUGUAAGAUGAUUGAUUAUGGGAGGCGUAGUUAAAUGUAGCUUUCCCUGGUCCAUGAAUCGGCCCCUCAGGUGGUUGUAAUUGAUGUAGUUCAUGAUCAUUCCCACACAACUGAGGUGAGUGUAGAGCUGUAAUGGUUUUUAUCUCUACGUCACGUGUAUAUAAAAGAAUGUCUAUGUUUUAAAUGAAUACAUAAGAAGGAUAUGAUAAUAAGGGAUAUUAUGAAGAAUGUAUUAAGAAAACACAAGAAACUCACUGUAUGUUCAUUAUAACUGUUUAUUAUAACUAUUGAUUAUGGGAGGCGUAGUUAAAUGCAGGUUUCCCUUGGAGAUUGUGAAAACAGCUGUUUCCAGCCGGAAACCAUUUUUAUUGUGAACCGGAAGUGGGGAAAAGCUAGCGGAAGUAGCGAACUGUUUACCUUAUUGUAGCCAGUAGCAUGCUGUGUUGUUGAAGGGCGGGGCUUAAACUAACCAAUGAGAGGCUCUAAGCCCAGUGGGUGAAAACACGUUGUGCAGGGUGGAACGUUCUCUUCAGACAGACAGACCCUAUUAGCAUUUUUAGCUUGCUAUUAGCCUGUGGAAGCUUAGACACGUGAACACCGUCGGGCGGAGAACAUGCUGUUCAUAUUUAUCAUUAAAUAUUUUUAGUAUACAUCAUUGGAUUUUGGAUCUUCCCUCCACCGAGUCGCCCAAGAUUGAGUGAGGACUGUGGAGUAUGAGUUUGGAGCACGUGGCGUUGGUGGAAGACGUUCGAUGACCUUUUCCAUCCAUGGCAUCCCAAGGUCGUGGUUCAGACCACGCCUUUCCACCACUGUGGACAGAGUGCGUGGCUUUGCAUUCUCCGGGUGGACCUGAACAUAAUCCUUACAGUUCCAGAAGAGCUUCUUGGUCAACCUGACAUCGCAAAACUUUUAUCGCUGGGGAAAAAAUGUCUGCCAGGAACUCUCCAGCGGGUUGUAGAGGUCCUUUCUCAGAAGCUUGGGUUCUGGGUUGGUGACGCUCACAGGAAGGCCAGUAAUCAGCAGAUGGAAUCCGCCAUCCACAGUCCUGGGAGCUCCGAUAAAUAACCUCUUCCUCUGAAUCCGUGUCAGUACUGCUGUGCUCCUAAUAUGAGCUCAAAUGUCCGUCUGCCAUGAGGUCAGUGUUGAGCUGGAUCGAUGGUUCCAGUUACAAUAAAAAUCAGCAAACACAAUUACAAAUUGAAUCACAGUAUGAAAUACAUAAAACAUACUGUCCGUUGCUCGUGCGCCCCGGGCUACACAUAUAGAAGCUAUCGUCUCUCCAGAACCAACCGGAUCACUCCUCCAGGCCCAAAUACAGCACCAAGCCAACGGAUUUCCUUAUUUUCAUAUACACUAUGCAGUUUUUGCACUAUUACGCAAUGUUGACUUAGUUGGACUUACACUGCACAGUUUUUACAUUAAACGUAUGCAUUUGUUUUG